UACGAAGGGAGCUAGCGUUGUUCGGAAUUACUGGGCGUAAAGGGCGCGUAGGCGGCUCUGCAAGUCAGAUGUGAAAGCCCCGGGCUUAACCUGGGAACUGCAUUUGAUACUGCAAGGCUAGAGAUUGAGAGAGGUAAGUGGAAUUAUGAGUGUAGAGGUGAAAUUCGUAGAUAUUCAUAAGAACAUCAGUGGCGAAGGCGGCUUACUGGCUCAAUACUGACGCUAAGGCGCGAAAGCGUGGGGAGCAAACAGG
rnacentral:rRNA from 1 species